rnacentral:rRNA from 1 species
UACGGGAGUGGCAAGCGUUAUCCGGAAUUAUUGGGCGUAAAGCGUCCGCAGGCGGCCUUNCAAGUCUGCUGUUAAAAAGUGGAGCUUAACUCCAUCAUGGCAGUNGAAACUGUUGGGCUUGAGUGUGGUAGGGGCAGANGGAAUUCCCGGUGUAGCGGUGAAAUGCGUAGAUAUCGGGAAGAACACCAGUGGCGAAGGCGNGNNGCUGGACCNUCACUGACGCUCAUGNNCGAAAGCNAGGGGAGCGAAACGGG